CUGACUGGGUAGUGGUGCCGCUGGCUAGGCCGCUCCUCUCAGACCCGGUCUCGGAUCCCGCCUCGGCCGCGUCCCAGAGCCUUGCCGCGGACGAACAGGGGAACGGCAGCCCUGGGCGAGACUCCGGGAGGGAGCGGCACCGGGGCACCGAGGCUCAGAGAGGUUAAAUGAGAUACCUAAAGUUGCACGGCUGAAUGGCAGACUUGAGAUGAAUUCCCUGACUCCAGACAGGAACUUCUUAUGGACAGAUGUGACCUGAAUCUCCACUUUUCAUCUAUUCCAGAUUCCUAAGCACUUGGAGAGUCAAGAUAGCCAGGUUAUCUGAUCCUAGCCUCUGCUUUUGGCUCCCACAAGGAAACCCUUUCUGCUAGAAGUCAGACAAGACCAGAGGGCCCUGGGGAGGGGACCAAAUGAUACUCAUACAGAUGAAGUGGGCUGUCCUCUUCAUCGGUAUAGAGGAUGAUGGUACCUUCCUUGGUGGAUAAAUAAUGAUGCAAUGCUUCCAGCAUGGCCACUCAAGAAUUAUUCUUGAUCAGCAAGGAAGAAAGGAUGGCACCCAUUUCCCUGAAGCCUUUUCUCACUUACGGAGGGACAGCUUCCUCUCUCCUCUCCUCCUGCCUCACCUGUCCAGCUUCUGGUAGGGCCUGGCUACUCUCUGACCCGAGCCCUGCUGAUACCCACUGGGCCCACAUGCUGCCUCUGGAGUCCUUCUGUCAUUUUUCUUCCUGGUUUCCUGCUGAUUCUCCAACACUGUCCCUUGUCACUGGCUCUGCUGGCACUCUGUAUGUAAUUCUCCUUUAUAGUGACCACAAGGAUAAUUACCUGUUCAAUUAUGAGUUUAAUAUCUGUGCCCCCUACUCUAGCCCGUAAACUCCAUGAGAAAGAGAUCUUGACUUCUUCUCUGCUGUGUCUCCAGUGCUUGGUACUCAAUAAAUAUUUGUUGAAAUAAUAGAUAACGAGCAGUUAGGUGUAUUUGCUUCUAA